rnacentral:rRNA from 1 species
AUUGAACGCUGGCGGCAGGCCUAACACAUGCAAGUCGGACGGUAGCACAGAGGAGCUUGCUCCUCGGGUGACGAGUGGCGGACGGGUGAGUAAUGUCUGGGGAUCUGCCCGAUAGAGGGGGAUAACCACUGGAAACGGUGGCUAAUACCGCAUAACGUCGCAAGACCAAAGAGGGGGACCUUCGGGCCUCUCACUAUCGGAUGAACCCAGAUGGGAUUAGCUAGUAGGCGGGGUAAUGGCCCACCUAGGCGACGAUCCCUAGCUGGUCUGAGAGGAUGACCCGCCACACUGGAACUGAGACACGGUCCAGACUCCGACGGGAGGCAGCAGUGGGGAAUAUUGCACAAUGGGCGCAAGCCUGAUGCAGCCAUGCCGCGUGUAUGAAGAAGGCCUUCGGGUUGUAAAGUACUUUCAGCGGGGAGGAAGGCGGUGAGGUUAAUAACCUUGCCGAUUGACGUUACCCGCAGAAGAAGCACCGGCUACUCCGUGCCAGCCGCCGCAGUAA